UUUUCUGCCUCCACCCACAUUUUCCUUUCACUCGCUCUCUCUCUCUCUCUCUCUCUCUGCCACAGAUCUCCCUCACCCAAUCUUGCCGCUGACAACCACCAUCCACACUACAACUGUCAACAACGACAUGGUGGCUUCCCUUCUUCCUUUACCAGCCUUCCCCUUCACCCAUCUCCUCUCCAGCUCUUCUUCUUUACUCAAAUCUCAUCCUCUCUCCUCCAAAAUUUCAAACCCCAAACCCCAGCCUCUACCCAAAGCUAGUACAAGUUCUAUGUUGAUGGAAAAUGGGGAUAUGAUGAAUCUGAACAUCAUGUGACUGGUGAUUAUGGGAUUGUGAACACAUUACAGCUGUCUACGAAUUACAUGGAUGUUGAUAAUGAUGCCUUUUCAGCAUGUGGUCAAAAGGUCGCAUGCCUUGGGUUAUAGAUGAUGUCGAGGGGAGAUAUAUUUCAUUGCAACAAGUUUUAGCUUGGUUGCAUAUCUUCAUGAGGAAUUCAUUAUCAUUUGAUUAGUAUUUGAGUGAAUAGAUUCAAACUUAUAUUAUGUAUAUGAUAUUGAACUUGGGUAUUAUUUUCCCUUAUUAGUAGUUAUUGAUUAAGCAGUUGUUAUA